rnacentral:rRNA from 1 species
GGACCCGCACAAGCGGUGGAACAUGUGGUUUAAUUCGAAGCAACGCGAAAAACCUUACCAGGACUUGAAAUCGAUAGAAUCUUUGUGAAAGCAGAGAGUGCCCUUCGGGGAGCUAGAAGACAGGUGGUGCACGGUUGUCGUCAGCUCGUGUCGUGAGAUGUUGGGUUAAGUCCCGCAACGAGCGCAACCCUCGUUAUUAGUUGCAUAUAUCGGUAUACUGAUAUAGUGCUCUCUGAUAAGACUGCCGGUGAUAAACCGGAGGAAGGUGGGGACGACGUCAAAUCAUCAUGCCCCUUAUGUUCUGGGCUACACACGUGUUACAAUGGCUGGUACAACGAGUCGCCAACUCGCGAGAGUGAGCAAAUCUCUUAAAAACCAGUCUCAGUUCGGAUCGUACUCUGCAACUCGAGUACGUGAAGUCGGAAUCGCUAGUAAACGCAGAUCAGCACGCUG